rnacentral:miRNA from 1 species
UUUGGCAUGACAACCGCUUUGU